CGUCUCUGCGUUUGGUGUUGCUUUCUCCCUUUUGCUCAUUUGAAUCUUUGGCUCCUAUAGAAUACGAAUUAGUAUAACUUUAGUGACUAAAUAUCUAUUCUCGAGCAGACGCAGUCUGUAUUUAUGACGUCACUGAGCCUUGGUGCGGUAACUUAAAGGGGCAUCGCCACCCACUUUUUCGUUUCAGCUACUUUCGGAGUGUCAAAAUAAGAGUUGCCUCUUUUUGUCUGUUCGGCAUUGUAGGAGGCACCAGCGUCCACAAGAGGGGCCGUGUCGAUAAAACGGCGUGCGCUUCCCACUACUCGCCAUCCCUGCGUCAUGCUUUGUCGGCCAUCGGACCCCGUCGUUCGAGAUCUGGGAAUUGCCAAGUCUGCGGUCGCUCCCAUCGUCAGCAUCCGGACGUCUUCAACGUGAAGUGAUCGAUCGACACGUCAAUGAACAACUGCAAAGGUCACGCAAAGCCGUGAGGUCAUCAUGGGUCCAGCUGCGCCCGUCGCCACGGACUCCAAGCUCCAGUCAUCUAGUUACGUGCAGUGCUGAAAGGAACCGGAAGUCUGUCGCCCCAAAACCGGAAGCGUGGCACCGUUCUGGCGUUGAAUUUUCUGCCGACCUCCCGACAAGACACGCCUCCACCGAAAAUUGAAUCUUUCUGCUCGUUCUAUAGCAACACGCGAAAAAAAAAAAAGAACACUCUUACACAGUGUUCAUCACCAAACGAAUGCAGUAGGGCGUUCAGUCAUUAAUCUACGGUAAUGGCGAAUCGAAUCUUGCCAGCAGUGGAGGUGAUGCUUGUGAAGCUGCAUGUGCCACAAGUAGGGCUGUCGGUAGAAAAUGUAAAAGAGCUGGUGUGUGUGCCGCUGAAUGACUAAUGGUGUUGAUGGUCGGUUAGCGUUCUGGUAGCCCUCGAAAGAAA